CGCGAGAGGUGAUACCGACCGCUGACGUCACGCCCCCUCAGACGUGAACAGGAUUGCUUCAGCCACUGGUCUGCUACAACAUGCAACACUCAGAUGGAGCACCUUCAUGGGAAAAGAAGCAGAACUUGGUCCAUGAGAGAGUAAACGGGGAGAAACCAGACCUGGUCCCAGCCAACAGGACAUGGAUUGUAACCAGCUUUGCAAAUUUUAAAAACAGUUGUAAAUUUUUUUUUUUUUUUAGAGAUUUUAUUGGCAAGAUAAAAAUUCAAAAUGUAUAUCAUUUCAGCCGGCAUCAUUUUUUGUACAUACAGAAAUGCAAUAAGAUUGUGAGGCAUGUGUAACGUUUCAAGUAUUUAUUAAAGCUGUCAAGAAGA